rnacentral:rRNA from 1 species
UAAAAGAUGGGCAUGCGUAGCAUUAGUUUGUUGGUGAGGUAACGGCUCACCAAGACUAUGAUGCUUAGGGGGUCUGAGAGGAUAGUCCCCCACACUGGUACUGAGACACGGACCAGACUCCUACGGGAGGCAGCAGUGAGGAAUAUUGGUCAAUGGGCGCAAGCCUGAACCAGCCAUGUCGCGUGCAGGAUGACGGCCCUAUGGGUUGUAAACUGCUUUUUUACAGGAAUAAACUUUGCUACGUGUAGUGAACUGAAGGUACUGUAAGAAUAAGGAUCGGCUAACUCCGUGCCAGCAGCCGCGGUAAUACGGAGGAUCCAAGCGUUAUCCGGAUUUAUUGGGUUUAAAGGGUCCGUAGGCGGGCUUUUAAGUCAGUGGUGAAAUCCCAGAGCUCAACUCUGGAACUGCCAUUGAUACUGAAAGUCUUGAAUUUAGUUGAGGUGGGCGGAAUACGUUAUGUAGCGGUGAAAUGCAUAGAUAUAACGUAGAACACCGAUUGCGAAGGCAGCUCACUAAACUAACAUUGACGCUGAUGGACGAAAGCGUGGGGAGCGAACAGGAUUAGAUACCCUGGUAGUCCACGCCGUAAACGAUGAUUACUCGUUGUGCACAAUACACCGUGCGUGACUGAGCGAAAGCAUUAAGUAAUCCACCUGGGGAGUACGUUCGCAAGAAUGAAACUCAAAGGAAUUGACGGGGGCCCGCACAAGCGGAGGAACAUGUGGUUUAAUUCGAUGAUACGCGAGGAACCUUACCUGGACUUAAAUGUAGAUUGACCGGCUUAGAAAUAGGUCUUCUCUUCGGAGCAAUUUACAAGGUGCUGCAUGGUUGUCGUCAGCUCGUGCCGUGAGGUGUCGGGUUAAGUCCCAUAACGAGCGCAACCCCUAUCGUUAGUUGCUAACAGGUUAAGCUGAGGACUCUAGCGAGACUGCCACCGUAAGGUGAGAGGAAGGUGGGGAUGACGUCAAAUCAGCACGGCCCUUACGUCCAGGGCUACACACGUGUUACAAUGGCCAGUACAAAGGGCUGCUACCAGGCGACUGGAUGCUAAUCUCUAAAGCUGGUCUCAGUUCGGAUC